rnacentral:rRNA from 1 species
AUACGUAGGGGGCAAGCGUUGUCCGGAAUGACUGGGCGUAAAGGGCGUGUAGGCGGCCGAUUAAGUCUGGAGUGAAAGGCUACGGCUCAACCGUAGUAAGCUCUUGAAACUGGGAAACUUGAGUGCAGGAGAGGAAAGUGGAAUUCCUAGUGUAGCGGUGAAAUGCGUAGAUAUUAGGAGGAACACCAGUAGCGAAGGCGGCUUUCUGGACUGUAACUGACACUGAGGCACGAAAGCGUGGGGAGC